AAAAAAAAAAAAAAAAAAAAAAAACCCUCAAUAGGACACAAGAACGAAAAAAACCCUAAAUUGAAAAAACUCUCAGCUCACUCUCACCACCAGACUCAGAUACAAACCCUCGCUCUCUAUCACUCUCAACACCAUUCGUUACCGCCGCCUCUCAUCGACGCCACCGCCACCUCCGAGAGCCGAUUGCCACCACCGCCACGUCAAACCUCUCUGUCAGCCAUCAUUAGGACUGUGCAAACCUUAACCGAAGCCGACAAGACCGACCGGCACCGACCUUCCCCCACCGACACUACCACCGACCGACGGAGCCGAUGCCCGUGAUCGGAAUGCGAACGAAGUUUUGAUGCCGGUGCGGUGAAGACAUCGGAGAAGGAAACCCAGCACUGAGUGAGAGCCGAACCGAACCGAUGAAGGCCAUUAAUAAAAGUUUAUCAUCCCCAAGUGAUGUUAUAUUUGCAUUGGCAAAGGAGGAGGACCACAUACCCUUUAGAAACUCAAAGCUUACCAUAUUGUGGAUCCAUUACAUUGGUGCUAGAUGAAAUUGGUGUUGAUGUUGCCUCACAGUUGUCAGCAGCUCCCAAAGGAAGGAUUGCCUUGAAAAGAGUUGAUGCUGUCGGCAGGUAUAUAACACUGCUUGCCUUGUAACCUUCCCUGUAUCCCCGACCCCCACAAAAAAGAAAAAAAAAAAUUGAAAUAAGGGGUACAUUUUAGUUUCUUUACAAUUGUAUGCCCUGUGACACAAGAUUUUUGAGGUUGAUGAAUUUGUAUUUAACUAUAAGAAAGAUUUUUAUGAAACUGAAAGUAAGACAUGUUAAUGGGUUUACAGUUGGGAAAAAUGUAAUCAGUUAUUAAAAUAUUGAAUUUAAACCUCUUUUUUGCUUGAACUGUGAUAGGAAGCAGUGCAAUACUGUCUAUGAAGGUCUUAUUGUAGUGGUAAAAGGUUUAACUAAGUAAAAUUCAGGGUCUCAAAUGCUUAUGUGUUGGUUUUGUAUUUGUGCUAUCAUUUUCAAUUUAGUUAAUUAUAUAUAUCGUACUAGUGCUAUAUUAGGUCCUACUGCACCUAUUCUUUCUUGUAAUUAUACGAUGUGUCCUACUGCACUGACUGAGAUUGGUCAGCUGCUCUAAGUUGGUUUUAUAGCUGCGUUUUCAUAGGAAACGCGGCUAUAGAUGUCGCGUCUGGGAGUGAAAAACGCAGCUCUAGGACAACAGAAACGCGGUUAUAGUUGCUUUUGGGCUGCGUUUAAAACGCAGCUCUAUGUUACCUAUAGCUGCGUUUUUUAAGGAAACGCGGCUAUAGAUGUCGCAUCUGGGUUUGUAAAAAAACGCGGCUCUAGUAUGCCUGAAACGCAGCUACAGACGCCGGUUUGGGCUGCGUUUUUGAAAACGCAGCUCUAGGUCCCCGCAAGGGGCUAUGGCGUCGCCGCAUAGGCUGUGUUUGGGAACGCAGCCAUAAAAACGCAGCUAUAGCCUAUAGCUGCGUUUUUUAUAUGCUAUAGCUGCGUUUUGCGAAUGCAGCUAUAGCCUGAUUUUUUUGUAGUGAUUGUUUAUGUCUUGGUUGAAUUGAUCAUUGAAACUUCACAUUAGACUAAAGACUAUCUCAUCUUUGGUACCACACACAUCACACACAUGUCUAUGUUCAAUGAAUACCUUAUUUAUUUGUGUGAUUGUACUUGAUUAAAUAUGUUGCACAUGCUCAAUUAUAUGUUGAUCAAACACAAAUUUUUUUUUGAGUGUUUUAGUUGUUUUUGGAAAGUGUUUUUAUUUUGAAAAAUGUCAAAAACUGUGCAACCUUGUAUUGGCAACUCACUCUCACGAGUCAAUCUAGUCGCGCGCCUUCAGUCGCGAGCUUACUCAGAAGCUUUCACGACUCUCUGGUGAGUCAAGCACCCAGUCACGGAAAAGACUUAGAAAUUUUUCAAAAACCUAGGUUUUGAGGUUUGUCGCAACUUAAUUUAGCGACUGUUUCGCGAGUGGAAGCUCCAGUCGUAAGGUUUACUCAGAAUGCUUGGCGACUCCCGUUGCGACUUACUCGCGAGUGGAACUUCCAAUCGCAAAAAACACUUAGACAAAUUUUUCAAAAUUUGUCACACGGGUUUUUGGUGACUUGUUCGCGACUCAUUCCAGUCACGAAAAACACGCGUUCUGCACAAUGGGGUUAUUUUCAAGGUAGUUUUCACAAAACUUUUCAGUUUUCCCUUGCAUUUUGUGACUUUUCAUUGUCUUGUCCAUUCCUCUCCCUCACAAACUCACCGUGUUUACUCCAAAAUCCUCCAUUUUUUUUUCAUCAUCUCUUCACCAAUGUUCAAGAACAAGGUAUGGGUUUUCUUAUUUUCUCAAAGAUUUUUAUGUUUAAAGUCUUUGAAUUCUUGGAUUUUGUGUUUUUGUUGAGUUUUGAAAAAAAACGAUGUUCGAAUAUUGGUUUGGGUAUUUCUUGUUGAGUUUGAUGAAUGGAUUUUGUUGGUUUUGACAGUAUGAUGCUUAUUAUACAUAUUUUCAUGUUUGCUUUUCAUUUUUGAGUAGUUUAUCUUGUUUGUGUUGUGCUAUGCAUAUCAUGCUCAUAGUAAAAUGUUUUAUAAACACUUUCUUGUGUCUUUGAGAACUUCAUAGAUUACGUUGCACUACAUAUGCACACCUUUUGCACCAGUGUUGCUCAUGCUUAUCUACAUGCCAUAGUUUUGCAUUUCAAUCAAGCUUAGCCACACAUUACUGCAUAUUGGUUUCAUUAAACUUGUUUGAGUGAGAUUUCUUCCUAUCUAUGAUUAUGUGUUUAUUUCAUGGACUAACUUGGAUCUAAUCAAGUUUGUGUUUGUGUUUGUGUCUUGUGAGUUUGCAAUUGGUUCUCUACUGUGUGUAUGUUCUUUUGCAGAUGUCUCGCUAUUCCUCUCGUGGAAAAGAACCAGUGAGUGAUGUUCCAUCAUCCCCUAUUUCAAAAUGGACUCGUCAUUCGACCCAUGACUCAAACAAUGAGAGAUUCAAGACUCCCCUCGAUUCUCAGACAUAUUCCAGCAUUUUUGAAAAAGCUCCUAUUGUGGUGGAACGGAUUGUGAGAUUUGAUACCCUGGGAACGACUUUCAUUCCACGGAUUUUUGAAGAAAAAGAUUGGGCUGAUUUAUUCGAGAACUUCGAGGAUCCAAUUGAUGAACUAGUCAAGGAGUUCUACUCCAACGCCAGAUUUACCGGAGUUGAACUAAAGUGUUGGGUCUGAGGAAAGGAAUUCAUCAUUACUCCAGAUUACAUUGCAGAUGUCCUUCAGAUUACUCGACAGGCAAAUGUAGACCUCACUCCAUAUGAUGAUAAGCUUCCUCAAGUGCAAGAUAUUCUUAAAAUUCUUGGGCCAGAUCAUGAGAUUUCAUCAAAAGGCACGUCCAUUGGAACUGCAAAGUUUGCACCUGAAUUGAAAACUCUCACUUUGAUCAUGUUCUUUAACAUUUAUCCAUUGUCAAACACUAGAUUCAUCAACCUUGAAAGAGCCCAGUUUCUAUGUGAUCUUAUCACCGGAGUCCAAAUGGACAUUUCUGCUCACAUCUUCCAGUUAAUUGGGAGAACAACAGCACGAACAGCAACAAGAACAUGCCUUCCUUUUUGUAGUAUGAAAAUUAUGGUACUUGAAGGGGUUCGUCUGCCAAAAGAUGGAAAACACUGGAUUCAUUAACCUUGGAAGAGCACAAUUUCUAUGUGAUCUCAUCACCGGAGUCCAAAUUGACAUUUCUGCUCACAUCUUCUAGUUAAUUGGGAGAACAGCAGCAUGAACAACAGCAAGAACAUGCCUUCCUUUUUGUAAUCUAAUCAUGAAAAUUAUGGUACUUGAAGGGGUUCGUCUACCAAAAGAUGGAAAGACACUAGUUCGUCUUCACCCACUAUCCAUGGUUUCUCUUCAAGCUAGCAAAAGUCAUUCUUCCAAAGCACCUAAGAGUGAAUCUUUCCCUCAUGCUACCUCUUCUGGUCACAACUCAGCCACUCACACUACGCCUGUGCAUACUGAGACCGCAUCUCCUCACACUCCUAAGUUGCAGACGACUAGCACUCAGCUUGUACAUCCUAGCUCUCAACCUGACAAGUUAAGCACUUUGACUGAGGGUUUGUAUCAGCGUAUUUCCGGAUUUGAAAGAGUUCUCUACUCCACCAACAAACAAGUUCAAAUGCAUCUCACAACUAUUGAGACAUAGUUAGAUGCUAUUCAACAAAAACUAGAGGACAACUUUUAGCUAUUCGUGCCAAAAAGGGGGAGAGCAAACUUAUUGUAUAGUUUGGAUGAUAGCAUACAAUAAGGGAGAGAGUAACACAAGAAUGGGAAGUGUGCAUAUUGAAAGGGGGAGUUGUGUGAGCUCAAAAGGAGAAUACUGAUACAUACACACAUACUUUUGGUUUGUCUUGUUUCUUUUAGCUUAUUUGUUUAUAGUUCUCAUACUGAUGGUUACAGUGCUCUUGUUUAAAACUUUUGGUACUUUGGUUUAAUUAUUUCAAUUGCUAUUCAACACUUUAUGAUUUGUACC